UCCCUGGUGGUCCAGUGGUUAAGACACUGUGCUUUCACCGCAGGGGACACAGGUCCAAUCCCUGGUCCAGGAA
rfam:TPA: Bos taurus chromosome 3, whole genome shotgun sequence.